rnacentral:lncRNA from 10 species
CAGAUGUGAGGACAUCCCAAGUUGUCCCCUGGGGACAGACCUCCCCACCCCCAGGUCCAUCCAAGGGUUUCGCUAGUGUUGAACACCUGAGCUCAAGCAACCCACUCACUUUGGUCUUCCUGGGAUUACAGGCAUGAGCCACAGUGCCUGGCCUCCAAGACCGGUCGGGGUGAGCAGUAACCCACGCUAACAGAGCUUAGUCAAGCAACCAGUACCGGCCAACGGACAGUGAAACUGAAAGAAAACUUGCAGAGCUUUCAUGGAAAGUCCAUCAGUGAAAACGGCCUGGAUGAAUAUGGUGUAAACUGUCUCCCAGGCCCUGUUUCGUUUUUCCUUAGGUGUCAGUGGGAAACUACACAUUUGCCGAAUCAAUUUUCUCUGCUACUCAGAGAAAAGCAUCCUUUGAGAUUAGCAACAUAAGAAGAUAUACAUAAUUAAAUAAAUAAAUAAAUAAGGAAAAACAAUGCACAAGUUUCGAGGAUUAGAAGGACAAAAAUUAAACAAGAAAAAUAAAUUUAAAAAAAUAAAAGAAAGAGAUUAGCAGCGUGGAAGCAGAUGGCACAGGGAGGAGGGGGCAGUGGCCCCCAGAUGGGCUGUGGGAGCAAUGUCAAGGUUGGAGGUGGUGGGAGAAAGGUGGAAUCUCUGUAGCCUGAUAGAGGUUGAAGAUGUCUUUACAAAGCUAGUGUACUUAAUUAUUUGUGGGGAACAAAGGGUCUUCCUGAUCCAUACAAAGUAUACUCUCUUUUUAACAAUCAGGGUAACCUAAGACAGAUGAUGAGGACCUUCCAAAAGUCAGUCACUCACCAGAAUUCCAAAGUGCCAGGUUGCCUGAUGA